AGUAGGAUAUCUGGGUCAAAUGGUGGAUCCAUUCCAAGUUUUCUAAGAAAUCUUCAUACUGCUUUUCAUAGGUGUUGCACCAAUUUGCAGUCCCACCAGAAAU
rnacentral:pre_miRNA from 1 species